AUUGAACGCUGGCGGCAUGCCUUACACAUGCAAGUCGAACGGCAGCACGGGAGCAAUCCUGGUGGCGAGUGGCGAACGGGUGAGUAAUAUAUCGGAACGUGCCCAGUAGUGGGGGAUAGCCGGCGAAAGCCGGAUUAAUACCGCAUACGACCUAUGGGUGAAAGCGGGGGAGUCGCAAGACCUCGCGCUAUUGGAGCGGCCGAUAUCAGAUUAGCUUGUUGGUGGGGUAAAAGCCUACCAAGGCGACGAUCUGUAGCUGGUCUGAGAGGACGACCAGCCACACUGGGACUGAGACACGGCCCAGACUCCUACGGGAGGCAG
rnacentral:rRNA from 1 species